UGGGGAAUAUUGCACAAUGGGCGCAAGCCUGAUGCAGCGACGCCGCGUGGGGGAUGACGGCCUUCGGGUUGUAAACUCCUUUCGCUAGGGACGAAGCUUUUUGUGACGGUACCUAGAUAAGAAGCACCGGCUAACUACGUGCCAGCAGCCGCGGUAAUACGUAGGGUGCGAGCGUUGUCCGGAAUUACUGGGCGUAAAGGGCUCGUAGGUGGUUUGUCGCGUCGUCUGUGAAAUUCCGGGGCUUAACUCCGGGCGGGCAGGCGAUACGGGCAUAACUUGAGUACUGUAGGGGUAACUGGAAUUCCUGGUGUAGCGGUGAAAUGCGCAGAUAUCAGGAGGAACACCGAUGGCGAAGGCAGGUUACUGGGCAGUUACUGACGCUGAGGAGCGAAAGCAUGGGUAGCGAACAGG
rnacentral:rRNA from 1 species